rnacentral:rRNA from 1 species
AGCAGUAAGGAAUAUUGGACAAUGGCCGCAAGGCUGAUCCAGCCAUCCAGCGUGCAGGAAGAAGGCCCUACGGGUUGUAAACUGCUUUUGUCAGGGAAUAAACCAGUGGAUUUACUCCGCAGCUGAAGGUACCUGAAGAAUAAGCACCGGCUAACUCCGUGCCAGCAGCCGCGGUAAUACGGAGGGUGCGAGCGUUAUCCGGAAUUACUGGGUUUAAAGGGUGCGUAGGCGGCCAUGUAAGUCAGGAGUGAAAGUUUGCGGCUCAACCGUAAAAUUGCUUUUGAUACUGCAUGGCUGGAAUCAGGAUGAGGUCAGCGGAAUGUGGCAUGUAGCGGUGAAAUGCAUAGAUAUGCCAUAGAACACCAAUUGCGAAGGCAGCUGGCUAGACCUGUAUUGACGCUGAGGCACGAAAGCGUGGGGAGCGAACAGGAUUAGAUACCCUGGUAGUCCACGCCCUAAACGAUGCUUACUCGACGUAUGGCACUAGUUGUUGUGCGUCCAAGGGAAACCGUUAAGUAAGCCACCUGGGGAGUACGACCGCAAGGUUG